rnacentral:rRNA from 1 species
CACGUAGGGGGCAAGCGUUGUCCGGAUUUAUUGGGCGUAAAGAGCUCGUAGGCGGUUCGGUAAGUUGGGUGUGAAACCUCCAGGCUCAACCUGGAGACGCCACCCGAUACUGCUGUGACUAGAGUCCGGUAGGGGAGCGUGGAAUUCCUGGUGUAGCGGUGAAAUGCGCAGAUAUCAGGAGGAACACCAGCGGCGAAGGCGGCGCUCUGGGCCGGAACUGACGCUGAGGAGCGAAAGCGUGGGUA